rnacentral:rRNA from 1 species
GGGACGAACGCUGGCGGCGUGCUUAACACAUGCAAGUCGAACGAGGCGCUUGCGCCUAGUGGCGAACGGGUGAGUAACACGUGAGCAACCUGCCCUUGGCUCUGGGAUAGCCUCCGGAAACGGGGAUUAAUACCGGACAUGACCUUCUCCUGCAUGGGGGAGGGUGGAAAGUUUUUCGGCCAGGGAGGGGCUCGCGGCCUAUCAGCUUGUUGGGGGGGUAACGCCCACCAAGGCGACGACGGGUAGCC